rnacentral:rRNA from 1 species
GACGUAGGGGGCCAGCGUUGUUCGGAAUUACUGGGUGUAAAGGGUUCGUAGGCGGUGUGGCAAGUCGGGAGUGAAAUCUCUGGGCUCAACCCAGAGUCUGCUUCCGAAACUGCUGUGCUUGAGUGUGGGAGAGGCGCGUGGAAUUGCAGGUGUAGCGGUGAAAUGCGCAGAUAUCGGGAAGAACACCCGUGGCGAAGGCGGCUCUCUGGAACGCAACUGACGCUGAGACGCGAAAGCGUGGGGAGCAAACAGG